rnacentral:lncRNA from 1 species
CUGAGCAGGCCGCCGGAGCCGCCGUUCGGCCUCACCGGAGCCCCGCCUGCUCUCCCGACCUCUUGCCGCCCCCAACCCUCUCUCUUUCUCUCUGUUUUGCAGCUAAACCAGUAGACCCACGAAGUGGGUUACCAGCACUUCGGGCCCGCUUUUGGACCGUUUCCCGGCCCCGAACCCAAGCCGUGCUUUGGGAACAAUCGUUCCUCGCAUCGCCGCCGUCGGAUUGAUCCGAUUUGCGCGCGAUUUGGUGAGUAAUCUCACUAAUCCUGGAUUAGUUGGCUAAUUAUGCUUUAGGUUGGUUUAGUUUUAAUUAAUUAUAUUUAGGUUGUUAGCUUAGAAGUAAUUAGCAAUUAUUAGUCAAUUGUGAUGUGAUUUAGAUAAAUUGAUUGUGCAAUUAACAAGUAGACAUGGUCUACUAUUUAUUGGGAGUGUCUCGGGAAUUUUCGGACCCCUAAUUGAGCUUCAAUUUAGCGAUUCGAGCCUAAGUGAGAUUUUUGGCAUUUAAAUAUUAAUUUUCGGAAUUAAAUUAAAUAAUUAUUUAUUUUCCGAAAAACCAAGGGAGAUGGUCUGGAACCGGAAUAUUAUGCUGGUGAUCGUGGCGAAGUCCGUUUAUUUAAUCGGGCUUUAUUUUAAGCUAAAUUGAAUUUUUAAUAUUAAUUAAUUUUCGAAAUUAAUUAAAUAAUUAUUUAUUUCCUGAAAAUUCAACUGGGAUGGCCCGUGACCGGAAUAUUGUGCUGAUGACUGUGGUGAAGUCCGUUUAUUUAAUCGGGCUUUAUUUUGAGCUAAAUUGAAUUUUAAUAUUAAUUAUUUAAUUUUCGAAAUUAAUUAUUUUUCGGAAAUUAAGAUAUUGAUGGCCGACGACCGAAAUCUCAUGCUGAUUGUCGUGGCGCAGUCCGUUUAUUUAUUUGAGCUCUACGUUGUAUGAAAUUAAAUAAAUUGUGAUAUUUUAGGGAUUUACCCUAAAUUGAUUGAAUUUGAGUGAAAUUGAAUUAUUGAUUGGUAGAUGGCCGAGUAUGGCUAGUUAGCUAUUGUAAUGCCUUGUUGAGCUGUAAGUGGAGAGAGCGAUGAGAGCUAACUGAGAAACCUAUUGGCUGAGAUCGAUCAAGUACGAAGUAUAGACAGGCGUGGUUCGGUGAUGGGGAAUAUCACUGUGCGAAAACGGCGCCUUAAAGAAUGCACGUAGACUGUCUAUGACUUAUGGUAGGCGUGGUUCGGUGAUUAAGGAAAUCACUGUGCGAAAACGGCGCCUUAAAGAACGCACGUAGACUGUCAGCGAUUUGUGACCUAUGACGGGCGUGGUUCGGUGAUUAAGGAAAUCACUGUGCGAAAACGGCGCCUUAAAGAACGCACGUGGACUGUCAGCAAUUUGUGACCUAUGACGAGCGUGGUUCGGUGAUGUGGAAUAUCACUGUGCGAAAACGGCGCCUUAAAGAACGCACGUAGACCGUCUGUUACUUAUGUCACCUUGGCGAAAACGACGCCCGAGAGCAUUCAUCCGGCUCUGUGACUAAGUGUACUACUGGAGAUUAUCGUGAUCGGUAAUUGGUACGUCACCUUGGCGAAAAAGACGCCCGAGAGCAUUCAUCCGGCUCUGUGACUGAGUACCCGAAUGGAGAUUAUAAAGUAUGGUGUUGAUGUGACCGAGAGGUGGUCCGAAUGACAUGUAAUCGACUAGGUCGAUUGAUCGUUGAUUUGAUUUGAUGUCGUGGAUUGAUUGACUGAUUGGAAAUGACCGUGAGUGGUCUUGUUGGCAUUUAAUCGACUAGGUCGAUUUGAUUGACGCUUUGAUCGGUGAUAUGAUUGCCUGGGUGCCUAAUAUGAAUUGUACUGACUUGCAGGUGGGAUCUGAUGCCAAGGUACGUCUUCUGCCCUGUGCGUGUAUAGGCAGCCUUUAGUAUAGUAGUUUACUAAUCGGGCUUAGUGGGGUAGAACUCGCUGAGACGUAGUCUCAUCCCAGUUUGGGGAAAAACAUUUCAGGACCCGAUAAGGAGCUGAGGAGGAGAACUCUGGGAAGGAGAUCUUGGAGGUGAAACUUGAAGGGAAGGAUUUUGAAAGAAGAAGAUAAUACCGAGAUGGGCCUUGAGUAUGGCCUGGAUGGAUUGAGAUCCUAUCUUCUUUUGAGAUCUCCAUUUUGAUGUGAAUAGUUAUGAAGUGAUUUGUG